rnacentral:rRNA from 1 species
UACAGAGGUCUCAAGCGUUGUUCGGAUUCAUUGGGCGUAAAGGGCGCGUAGGCGGCGGGGUAAGUCGGGUGUGAAAUCUCAGAGCUCAACUCUGAAACUGCACUCGAUACUGCUUUGCUAGAGGACUGGAGAGGAGAUUGGAAUUCGCGGUGUAGCAGUGAAAUGCGUAGAGAUCGUGAGGAAGACCAGUGGCGAAGGCGGAUCUCUGGACAGUUCCUGACGCUGAGGCGCGAAGGCCAGGGGAGCAAACGGG